UCCCAGCCUCCCACGCAAGAACGCUCCACCGCGCUUCCCCAGCAUCGUCGUCGCCCGGCAUGGUGGCCCUCGCCUCUCGCGCUGGCCCACCCUCGCCGCCGCCGGCCUGGCAGCGUGGCUCUGCGGUCGCAGCCACUCGCGCUUCUCUGCGGCGCUAAGGCCAGGCUCCGCCCCGAUGGCGCCCGCCUCUGCCACUUCUGCUGCCGCCACGGCCUCCUCCUCCUCCCGUCUUGUCCGGCCUCCUCCCGCUGAUCUCGCUUGGAUGGCCGAGGCGUGAUGGCCUGCAACCCUGACGUCGAUGCCUGACAGGAUCCCCCGUUCCUCACCGGUUCCCCCUUGUGCCCCACUCCCUCCCGGUCUUGCAAGUUCCUCAAUCAAUCGGUUCCCGUGUCACCUGCGCGUCAGAUCGGCGAAGCGAGGUAAGCAGGAGCAGCUUGGGACCAGAUCCGCCGCUGCAUAAGCGGAAGGCCAUGGAGACGCCUCCGCCUUUCUAGGAGUCCGCCCACUGCGAUGUCUGCCGCUGCACCUUCGGCACCUUCCGCCGCCGUCACCAUUGCCCCAGCUGCGGAAGGACGCUCUGUCACGAGCACUCUUCGUACCACAUGUAUGGGAUACAUAUACCGACGUCAGAGUCUGCUACAAUUGCUUCAACAAGAAAUCCUCGAGGUAUCCAUCCUCUUAGGGGUAAAUCCAUGGAGUGUCGAUGAUGUGGCCGACGCCUUGUGCCAAGCAACUUACUUGACAGAGUAUGAGAAACAGCUACGGCAUGAAAAGCAUUAUCGCUAUGUCAGCACUCAUGAUGUUGCUAUUACUGGGCACACAGCUUUGCUCAAGAUCUGGAAAGAGCAUGCAAAGAUCAUUACAGCUGAAGGUGCUGGGCUAUCGGGUUUGGUCUGGCUCUCUCCUGGUUUCAGGAAGCUGUCUUCGGAGCACUUUGUUUCUUGUUAUAACAAGGCUUCCAGAAGAGCGAUAUUUCUUGACUACGAUGAUACACUUGUGCCCCAGUCAUCAAUCAACAAAGCUCCCAAUGCUGAAGUCGUUUCAAUUCUCAAAACCUUAUGCAAUCAUCCAAAGAACAAUGUAUUUAUAGUCAGCGGACGGGGACAAGAUUCUCUUGAUGAGUGGUUUUCUGCAUGUGAGAAACUUGGUAUAUAGGGCCUAUUGGUAUAGCUGCAGAACAUUACUAUUUUGUCAGGUGGAGCAAAGAAGCUGUAUGGGAAUCAAGCUAUCCAAGUCCACAACGUGAAUGGAAGUACAUUGCUGAACCUGUUAUGCCGGCAGUUGCAAUCUUGAUGCCGGCGUCCCCUUCUCACUGGUGUUCUUAUUGGCACUUGAGGCAAUUAGUUUGUCAAAAGAGUAAUUGGUACUGCCUAGAUUUUUUUUUGAAGAAAUGCCUAGAGUUUCUUUCACCAGUCCUAGAUAACGUGGUCAUAUAAGAGUUACAAGGCACGUUUUCCUGUGUUACGAGAGUUAUAAGACUUAUAAGGCAGUUUUCUUUCCACAGUAAUAUUUCAGUGCAGACAUAAUUAUAUCAUGUGCUAUGUUUUUGUUAUUGAACAAUAUUACUGUGUGUGAUGAUAAA